rnacentral:rRNA from 1 species
GACGAACGCUGGCGGCGUGCCUAACACAUGCAAGUCGAACGGAAGUUAGAGCUUCGGUUUUAACUUUAGUGGCGAACGGGUGAGUAACGCGUGAAGAACCUGCCUUUCAGUGGGGGACAACAGUUGGAAACGACUGCUAAUACCGCAUGAAACUUCGAGAGGGCAUCCUCUUGAAGUCAAAGCUUUAUGUGCUGAAAGAUGGCUUCGCGUCUGAUUAGCUAGUUGGUGGGGUAACGGCCCACCAAGGCGACGAUCAGUAGCCGGUCUGAGAGGAUGAACGGCCACAUUGGGACUGAGAUACGGCCCAGACUCCUACGGGAGGCAGCAGUGGGGAAUAUUGGUCAAUGGUCUGACGACUGAACCAGCCAUGCCGCGUGAAGGUCACGGCCCUAUGGGUCUUAAACUUCUUUUGCGUAGGGAGCAAUAAGGUCUACGUGUAGACUGAUGAGAGUACCUUGCGAAUAAGCAUCGGCUAACUCCGUGCCAGCAGCC